UACGUAGGGUGCAAGCGUUGUCCGGAAUUAUUGGGCGUAAAGAGCUCGUAGGCGGUCUGUCGCGUCUGCUGUGAAAACUCAGGGCUUAACCCUGAGCUUGCAGUGGGUACGGGCAGACUAGAGUGCGGUAGGGGAGACUGGGAUUCCUGGUGUAGCGGUGAAAUGCGCAGAUAUCAGGAGGAACACCGGUGGCGAAGGCGGGUCUCUGGGCCGUAACUGACGCUGAGGAGCGAAAGCAUGGGGAGCGAACAGG
rnacentral:rRNA from 1 species